GAUGAACGCUGGCGGCGUGCCUAAUACAUGCAAGUCGAGCAGACAGACGAGGAGCUUGCUCCUCUGACGUUAGCGGCGGACGGGUGAGUAACACGUGGAUAACCUACCUAUAAGACUGGGAUAACUUCGGGAAACCGGAGCUAAUACCGGAUAAUAUAUUGAACCGCAUGGUUCAAUAGUGAAAGACGGUUUUGCUGUCACUUAUAGAUGGAUCCGCGCCGCAUUAGCUAGUUGGUAAGGUAACGGCUUACCAAGGCAACGAUGCGUAGCCGACCUGAGAGGGUGAUCGGCCACACUGGAACUGAGACACGGUCCAGACUCCUACGGGAGGCAGCAGUAGGGAAUCUUCCGCAAUGGGCGAAAGCCUGACGGAGCAACGCCGCGUGAGUGAUGAAGGUCUUCGGAUCGUAAAACUCUGUUAUUAGGGAAGAACAAAUGUGUAAGUAACUAUGCACGUCUUGACGGUACCUAAUCAGAAAGCCACGGCUAACUACGUG
rnacentral:rRNA from 1 species